rfam:Triticum aestivum genome assembly, contig: Triticum_aestivum_CS42_TGACv1_scaffold_308937_4AS
GAGGUACUCUCUCUGUCCAAAAAAGCUUGUUCCUCAAAUGGAUGAAUCUAGCACCAAGUUAGUGCUAGAUACAUCCAUUUGAGAGAUAACCUUGGGACAAGUUUUUUCGGACGGAAGGAGUAUGUU